GCAAGCUGGUAACACUCCUCAAGGUCUUUACAUCAGCUCCUGAUUUAGGUUCCUGACAUGUUUGAGUUUCUAUUCUUACUUCUUUUGAUCACAGACAGUGUUGAUGAAAGAGUAAGCCAAAAAUAUCGUUUCCACACCAAGUUGCUUUGGUCAUGGUGUUUCAACACAAUAAUCCUAAUCCUAACUAAGACACCUGCCUUCUGCUUAUUUAAAUCCAGCCUGUCUUCAACCCCUGAUCUAUGUCAGUCUUCUUUUCAGGCCUUCUCAGAUUUCAUUAUCAAAUUCUCUCUUUUUUCCCAUCAUAAUUGGACCUUGGUAUAUCAAGAAUAUGUCUUUCUCAAGCUAUCUAUGAAGCAAUGGUCUAUUAAACAACCAUCUCUGUGGAACCCAGGAUAAUGAUCAAGACCUUUCAGGCCUCUUAAUGUAGCCUACAAUGUUUAACCCACUCUAAGAAGUCUACACAUAAUCAAACGGUAUGCAGUAUACUUAGAAGGUAGUUCACUUCUCAGUCGUCAAUAUAACUAAAAUGCCUGAUCAAAAGUGGUUUCCUAGUUCCAUGUCACUGAUCUGAGAAGUGACCUGAAUCUCAAUAAUCUCUCGGAAGCAUUUUCAAAACUACACCACAUUUCUCUAUCAAACAAAUGAAACAAGUUAUUUUUACCUGUGUAAAUACUCUCCCAUUAGUUUUCAUGGCUCAUAUUUCUUGAGGAGAAAUCUUGGUAGUGUUCAUGAAGCCUUGCCCUUCUCCAAACCCGACUUGCCUUUAGUUUGUCCCAGCACAACACCAUUCACUAGCUGACAUUCAAACCUAACUCAAGAGUCCAUGGCCCGGAGGGGCAAAGAAAUAUAUUCAAUGGACCUGAGACACACUAAGUGUUCAGUUGCCAUGUGCAAGUGUAUGUGGGCAUUUGUUAAGAGGGAAGCUUGAUUAGACUCAAACGGUCCAAAAUUUCAAAGAAAUGAAAAGCACCAACUUGACCAUCUGCUUAGGUCCCUGAAGAUGCCCUCAGCUUUAUGGAGAAUAUUAGAGUCUUGAUGGGUUGAAACCCCUGUAAAUGGAAUGUAACUCAAAGAGAACAUUCUCUACAGACACUCAAGACGGAGAACCUGCUGAGCAUAUGGCACCACGUGAAGGAGGAGGUGAACCAGGGGAAACUGUAGCAAUGGAAACUCGACAAAGAUGUAGACUCAAGAAAGAUGCUAAAGCUCAGCAUCAGAAAGGAAACCAGGGACGAUCCUGUACUAUUUGAUCUCUCCAAGUCCAGCCGCCACACACUUGUGCAGGAAGGACAAGACACUGAGGACCUCCUGCCCAGGAUUGAUACCACCUGCAGUGAACUGGGUCUUCCAACUCAACUGGGUCAAUCAUCAAUCAACACUCUAAAGGCUUGCCUGGAAGCCAAUCUGGGAAAAUACAAACAAAAAUGAGGAGGAAAUGAAGAAAGCCAAGAUUUGUUUUGAAAUGUUUGGUUGUCCUCUUGAAGGCUUGGUCUUUUCUGAUGGGACAUAGAGGGGGAGUGGAUCUGUGGGAGAGAGGAGGUGAGAGGGAUCUGGGAGAGGUUGAGGAAUGGAAAGCAGUGGUUGGGAGAUAUUGUAUGAGGGAAGAUUCUAUUUUCAAUAAAAGGAAAAAAUGUGAGAAACAA